AGCGAACGCUGGCGGCAGGCCUAACACAUGCAAGCCGAACGAAGUCUUCGGACUUAGUGGCGGACGGGUGAGUAACACGUGGGAACGUGCCUUUAGGUUCGGAAUAACUCAGGGAAACUUGUGCUAAUACCGAAGGUGCCCUUCGGGGGAAAGAUUUAUCGCCUUUAGAGCGGCCCGCGUCUGAUUAGCUAGUUGGUGAGGUAAAGGCUCACCAAGGCUACGAUCAGUAGCUGGUCUGAGAGGAUGACCAGCCACAUUGGGACUGAGACACGGCCCAAACUCCUACGGGAGGCAGCAGUAGGGAAUCUUGCGCAAUGGGUGAAAGCCUGACGCAGCCAUGCCGCGUGGAUGAUGAAGGUCUUAGGAUUGUAAAAUCCUUUCACCGGUGAAGAUAAUGACUGUAGCCGGAGAAGAAGCCCCGGCUAACUUCGUGCCAGCAGCCGCCGUAAUAC
rnacentral:rRNA from 1 species